rnacentral:rRNA from 1 species
UACGUAGGGGGCAAGCGUUUGUCCGGAUUUAUUGGGCGUAAAGAGCGUGUAGGCGGUCUGGUAGGUCCGCUGUGAAAACUCGAGGCUCAACCUCGAGACGUCGGCGGAAACCAUCUGGCUAGAGUCCGGAAGAGGAGAGUGGAAUUCCUGGUGUAGCGGUGAAAUGCGCAGAUAUCAGGAAGAACACCCGUGGCGAAGGCGGCUCUCUGGGACGGUACUGACGCUGAGACGCGAAAGCGUGGGGAGCGAACAGG